UGGGGAAUAUUGGGCAAUGGGCGCAAGCCUGACCCAGCAACGCCGCGUGAAGGAAGAAGGCUUUCGGGUUGUAAACUUCUUUUGUCAGGGACGAGUAGAAGACGGUACCUGACGAAUAAGCCACGGCUAACUACGUGCCAGCAGCCGCGGUAAUACGUAGGUGGCAAGCGUUGUCCGGAUUUACUGGGUGUAAAGGGCGUGUAGCCGGGAAGGCAAGUCAGAUGUGAAAUCCACGGGCUCAACUCGUGAACUGCAUUUGAAACUGUUUUUCUUGAGUAUCGGAGAGGCAAUCGGAAUUCCUAGUGUAGCGGUGAAAUGCGUAGAUAUUAGGAGGAACACCAGUGGCGAAGGCGGAUUGCUGGACGACAACUGACGGUGAGGCGCGAAAGCGUGGGGAGCAAACA
rnacentral:rRNA from 3 species